GUGAACGCUGGCGGUAGGCCUAACACAUGCAAGUCGAACGGCAGCACAGUAAGAGCUUGCUCUUACGGGUGGCGAGUGGCGGACGGGUGAGGAAUACAUCGGAAUCUACUUUUUCGUGGGGGAUAACGUAGGGAAACUUACGCUAAUACCGCAUACGACCUACGGGUGAAAGCAGGGGAUCUUCGGACCUUGCGCGAUUAAAUGAGCCGAUGUCGGAUUAGCUAGUUGGCGGGGUAAAGGCCCACCAAGGCGACGAUCCGUAGCUGGUCUGAGAGGAUGAUCAGCCACACUGGAACUGAGACACGGUCCAGACUCCUACGGGAGGCAGCAGUGGGGAAUAUUGGACAAUGGGCGCAAGCCUGAUCCAGCCAUACCGCGUGGGUGAAGAGGGCCUUCGGGUUGUAAAGCCCUUUUGUUGGGAAAGAAAAGCAGCAGGUUAAUACCCCGCUGUUCUGACGGUACCCAAAGAAUAAGCACCGGCUAACUUCGUG
rnacentral:rRNA from 1 species